rnacentral:rRNA from 1 species
UACGUAGGGGGGCAAGCGUUGUCCGGAUUUAUUGGGCGUAAAGAGCGUGUAGGCGGCCAGACAAGUCUGCUGUGAAAACUCGAGGCUCAACCUCGAGCUGUCGGUGGAAACUGUCUGGCUAGAGUCCGGAAGAGGAGAGUGGAAUUCCUGGUGUAGCGGUGAAAUGCGCAGAUAUCAGGAAGAACACCUAUGGCGAAGGCAGCUCUCUGGGACGGUACUGACGCUGAGACGCAAAAGCGUGGGGAGCGAACAGG